UCCUCUCUUUCCUUCCCGCCUGCCUUCCACAUGGCGUACAGAUCCUGGUUCCUGACCAGGCACUGACUCUGGGCCUCUGAGGCUCAGCCACUGGGCUGCCAGAGAAGCCCCAGGAGAUUUCUUUCAAGUGGGAGAAAACUGAGUAACUUUUACGCAUUUAUUUAUUCAUUUUUGAUAUCUUGUAAAUUUUUUUUAAAAUUUCUUGUAAGUUUUUAAAGGAAACAGAGUUUGUCUUAUUUCAUCGAAGUUGAAGCCAGAGCACAGAGAGUUAAAGGUGCAAUCCCUGAAAAAACCCCAGGACGUCUGAGUCAACGCACCAAAGAAAAUGUUUACUUCAGAGGGAAGAAAAUACUGGAACUUGAAUUUCUUAAUUGGUCUGUGUGGUUCAUAAUUAUUGUUUCACAUUAACUGGCUGAGGAACUUGAGCCUGAGGACUAGAUAACCCAGGUAUAUGCAGGUGUAAAUCUAGAAUUGGAUACAAAAAUGAGUAAACGUGGAUAUCUUCUUUGAACAAAGAAAGGUUCUGGUAGGUUCUGGACAGGGCAGGAAGCCCAAAAGAACUGUGUCUGCCUUACAGAGCGUACAGUCUAGGUAGAAAACAAAAAGGCAAAAGAAAAAAAAGCUAAUUAACAAAUCGCAGUUUAAUAAUAAAGAAUGGCAUGUGUAAAAGAUGUCGAGUAGGACAUAAUUAAUGGUACUAAGUUGAAUAGGCCUUGAGGGAAGAAGAGAUUCAUAGUCAAGGAUGUUUUAGAAGUCUGUAAUUAAGGAUUGGAGGAGUCUGUAGUAUUCAGAGUGGAGGGAGAUUCCGAAUUAGCUGUGUAAGUUGUGAAAUCUCAUAUUCUUUCUUCUGCAUGUAAUUUUAUUUAUCGUUAAUGUAGCUUAAAGAAUAACGCUGUUUCUGUGCUUGUCUAACAGACUGGGGAAGAGAGUAUUCCCCAGUGCUCUCUGGAGUUCCCCAAGGGCCCCUCCCUGAUCACACCCCUCUUUCUUCUCCAGAGUAAU
rnacentral:lncRNA from 1 species